AUGGAUCGAUGGCAGAUCUUGACGUUGUUAGGGCUGGGAUUGGAUGGUUGUGGGGGGUGGUGUGCUUGGUUGGGUUCCCAUGGAAGAAUGUGGCCUCCUCGUGGAUUGGUCGUAGCCAUCAUAGAGGACAUUGUGGCCCUCCCCCGAGGAGCAAGGACAGUGCAGGCGGCAGCAGGGGGUAGAGGUAGAUGCGGGGAGGGAUGUCAGCGGCUGCUCGAGGUCGUCGUGAGGAAAGCCUUGACGACCCAUCUUUAUCAAUGGAGGUGGAAGAGCACAGAGUCGAGAUUGGAUAGGAGUUUGAGUUCUUGUUGGCCUUGGCUGGUUCCCCACUUUAGAGAUGUAUUUUUUCGCGUGCGAGCGCACAGUGGGUAA
rnacentral:rRNA from 1 species